UAGCUAGUUGGUGGGGUAAGGGCCUACCAAGGCGACGAUCGGUAGCUGGUCUGAGAGGAUGACCAGCCACACUGGAACUGAGACACGGUCCAGACUCCUACGGGAGGCAGCAGUGGGGAAUAUUGGACAAUGGGGGGAACCCUGAUCCAGCAAUGCCGCGUGUGUGAAGAAGGCCUGAGGGUUGUAAAGCACUUUCAGUGGGGAGGAGGGUUGAUAGGUUAAGAGCUAAUUAACUGGACGUUACCCACAGAAGAAGCUCCGGCUAACUCCGUGCCAGCAGCCGCGGUAAUACGGAGGGUGCGAGCGUUAAUCGGAAUUACUGGGCGUAAAGCGUGCGUAGGUGGUUGAUUAAGUUAUCUGUGAAAUCCCUGGGCUUAACCUGGGCAGGUCAGAUGAUACUGGUUGACUCGAGUAUGGGAGAGGGUAGUGGAAUUUCCGGUGUAGCGGUGAAAUGCGCAGAGAUCGGAAGGAACACCAGUGGCGAAGGCGGCUACCUGGCCUAAUACUGACACUGAGGCACGAAAGCGUGGGGAGCAAACAGGAUUAGAUACCCUGGUAGUCCACGCUGUAAACGAUGUCAACUAGCUGUUGGUUAUAUGAAAAUAAUUAGUGGCGC
rnacentral:rRNA from 1 species